rnacentral:misc_RNA from 1 species
GAUGAAGAACGUAGCGAAAUGCGAUAAGUAAUGUGAAUUGCAGAAUUCAGUGAAUCAUCGAGUCUUUGAACGCACAUUGCGCCCCCUGGUAUUCCGGGGGGCAUGCCUGUCCGAGCGUCAUUGCUGCCCUCAAGCACGGCUUGUGUGUUGGGCCCCCGUCCCCGGUUUCCCCCGGGGACGGGCCCGAAAGGCAGCGGCGGCACCGCGUCCGGUCCUCGAGCGUAUGGGGCUUUGUCACCCGCUCUGUAGGCCCGGCCGGCGCCAGCCGACACCCAACUUUAUUUCUAAGGUUGACCUCGUAUCAGGUAGGGAUACCCGCUGAACUUAAGCAUAUCAAUAAGCGGAGGA